rnacentral:lncRNA from 1 species
UUAUUAUUCAGUGCCACUCUCAUCUAAUUAACUACUCCAUAUAUAUCUUACAAUCACUCAAAAGAGUUCUUUCUUCAUCUUCUUCACUUCCCCAUUUUCUCAAUUAUUCAACAAUAUAUAAUAAUCUCUCAAAGCCAAAGAACAUGAAGCUAUCUUUUGUAACUCUUCUUCUUGUGUGCCUUGUGCUCACCUCUUCUUUCUUUGAAGCCUCAAUGGCUCGUCCAGGUAUAUAUAUAAUUAUUUACAUUGUUCAAACCCAAGACAAAAUAUAUUAAUCCAUCGAAAUAAUGCUAGGUAAUCAAUAAAUUUUUUUUGAAUAAGAUGAAUAACCACCAAUCAAAUCAAAACACACUAUAUAUACCUUCAAAUUACCCUCUUAAAUCUUAAUAUUAGAAUAACCUACCAUUCGUACACCUAGUAAAAUGAACAUUCGAUAUAUUAAUUGUUCACAUUAUUUAAUAUUUUCAUUGUCUGUCUAUAACUCACAACUUUAAAUAUAUUGUCCAACACUUAUUUUGCAUUAUACUCUCAAGGCAAAAUAAUAAAAUAAUAAAGACACAUAUAUUAUAUCUUUCAAGAGGAAAAAAAAGUGAUUUGAAAAAAAAAAAUUUGAUAGCGAAGAGAGCUCAAAAUCGAAAUCAUAGCUAGUAACUCAUUCCCUAGAAGCUUGAUGGGAAAUAAAUAAAAAAUAAAAAAAAGUAAGCUAUAUGGGAAUAAUUAAAGUGAAUCAUGGAGUAACACUACUAAUCAAUACACACAUACAUUAUUAAUAUGAUAACAUUUUGACAAAGCCUAACUCAUAAAUAAUCUUCGCACUUUGUGAAUGAGCCUUCUGCACACAGGGCACACUUUGCUCUCUCCAUCCACAAUCCUGAAAAAUUAAAUAUGGACUCUAAAUAAUUGAAAAUCUACAUUUUUUAUUUUUAUUUUUGAGACACGGAUAUGAAAUUACAAGAUACCACAAUUUUUUUUUUAAUUUAACAUAUAAAAGUUAGUAAAAUAGUUAACGUAAAGUAUUAUAAAGACAAUACAAUGUACUUUAUUAAUUGCUUAAUAGAAUUUUACUUACUUAGGUAUAAAAAACCGAAGAAUUAGUAUUAAAAAGAAUAUUAAAUCUAAAAAUAUAUUUAAAUUAUGAGACUUAAUAUGCAUAUAAAAAUUUGAUUUUUAUGUAAUGAAAGUGUAAAAAAAAUUUACACAGAUAUCUAAUCGUGUAUUAUUAUGUCAGUAAAAAUAACUAAUUUUAAAUUCACUAAUUAAAAACUCAUCUAAAUGCACAAAUUUCAUUAGAUGGUCGUAUAAAAUUCUUUAUAUUAUCAGUAUAUUAAAAUUGAACUUAGUAUAUAAAUAUAUAAUAGAAAUUCUAGGGAUUAAUUUAAUUAUAUAAAGUAUGAAUGCAUAUAUACCUCUUUGCACAGGGAAAGCAAGUGGCAGAGUGGCCACAAGGAACAAAGAAGCAAUUUCUUUGUUCAUCAUAGCAAAUGACACACAAUUUCUCAUCAUAUAAUUCCUCUGAGGAGCAACUAGAACCAUCUUCUGAUGAUUCUUCUUCUUCAUCAUUUUUUGGAUUUGGCUUCACAUGAUGAUGAUGCAUCAUUGGUUCAGUAAUUUCUUGUGAUGAAGAAACUAAUACAUUAUUAUUGUUGUUGCUUGUGUCAAUUGUAACAUUACUAUUGUGAUUAUCAUUAUCAUUUUGAUUAUCAUAACCUCCAAGGCAUCUCAGUAUCAUGAAGAUAACAAUUAUACAAAGUCCUACAAAUUUAAAACAGGGCAAGUAAACUCUUUAGUUUAGUAUAAAACAUUAUCUAUUAGGCAUUCCAUUCCACAAUUAAAAUAUAUAAAUUUAAAAUAAUUAAACCUUUAAUCNNNNNNNNNNNNNNNNNNNNNNNNNNNNNNNNNNNNNNNNNNNNNAAUAAUAUAAUCUCUCAAAAUUUUAAAAUGACAAUUUUGAUCCUGGUUAAUGUUAAAAUGUAUGUUGUCGAAAUUGAUUACAAAGAUAUGACAAAUUUUGCAAAUUACAACUGAAUGGAGGGUUUAUUAACAGUUUUUUCCAAAAAAAAAUCAUAUAUCAAAGACAAUUUUGAUAUAAAAGUGUAAGGUUUUUGAGAAUUGACCUAUUUUAAUUUUACCUUGUGGAUUAAAAUAAAAAAAAUUCAACGAAUUUUAUUAUGUACUAAUAAUUGGCACAAAUUUUAAUUCAACAAUCUCCCAUAUCUCGAAUACGAGAUUUUAAUUCAAUUUUACCUAAAAUAGCUAUGUAGGCUAUCACACGAGUAAUGAACGAAACUUCAACAAACCAUUCUCCGUCAUUGUCGUCAUCGUUAUCAUCUACCUGUAAUCAAUUCAUCAUAAAAUUUUAUAGACAUGAUCUACAUUAUAUUAGGCUUUUUUAGUAUAGUAGUAUUAACAUCUUACAUUUUUUGGUGCAGUUAGAAUGAGAUAAUAUGUGUUGGGGAAGAGG